UUCUUACCAAUUUCUUACUAAAUUUAUUUCCUACUAAUUUCCUGUAAAAAAAAAUUACCUUCAGAAUUCCUACAAACUAAAUAAACCUAAUCUAUUUUCUCCCCUUAAAAAUAUUUCACGCCUCCACCCAAACUUAGAUCUGGAGGGUAUUCGUCUCUUACAUUUUUUUCUUCUUUUGGGUGAGUUCUUCUCUUCGCGUGAAGCGUUGUUGGCAGUUUCUCACUUGAUUUGCAGUCACCAGCGUCCUCAUCACCAAUCUCACGGCUGGAUUCACUGAGAAAGUCGCCAAGAACUCCAAGUUUGUCCAACAACACAGGCGGUAAUUUCUUCAUCUUUCGAUCAAGGAUUCUGUUCCGGAAAAACGUCGCUCUCAUGAGCUUAAUCCCAGCGGCGGUGUAGCUUGGAUAGCGGCUCUGAUGUGGUGAGGCCAGUAAGCUGCAGCGAGGAAACUAAAGAAUCUAUGGCAAGGAAGCUAAGGAAUCUAUGGCAAGGAUGGAAAUCCUCACAGAGGUGAUACUUUCUCCGACAUCGGAGAUGGGUGGUUUAUUUCAGUUUAGGACGGUUUGUAGUCCUAAUUAACCAUACCAGUUGGAUUGAUUUGGUUAUGUUAUAUGUUUAAAAGAAUAAUAAUUUGAUAUAAAUGAAUUUAUAUUUCUUUUAGAUUAA